rnacentral:rRNA from 1 species
UACAGAGGGUGCGAGCGUUAAUCGGAAUUACUGGGCGUAAAGCGCACGUAGGCGGCUUGGUAUGUCGGGUGUGAAAUCCCCGGGCUCAACCUGGGAACUGCAUCCGAAACUGCCUUGCUCGAGUAUGGGAGAGGGAAGUGGAAUUUCCGGUGUAGCGGUGAAAUGCGUAGAUAUCGGAAGGAACAUCAGUGGCGAAGGCGACUUCCUGGGCCAAUACUGACGCUCAGGUGCGAAAGCGUGGGGAGCAAACAGG